rnacentral:rRNA from 1 species
UGGGGAAUUUUGGACAAUGGGCGAAAGCCUGAUCCAGCAAUGCCGCGUGUGUGAAGAAGGCCUUCGGGUUGUAAAGCACUUUUGUCCGGAAAGAAAUCCUUGGCUCUAAUACAGUCGGGGGAUGACGGUACCGGAAGAAUAAGCACCGGCUAACUACGUGCCAGCAGCCGCGGUAAUACGUAGGGUGCAAGCGUUAAUCGGAAUUACUGGGCGUAAAGCGUGCGCAGGCGGUUCGCUAAGACCGAUGUGAAAUCCCCGGGCUCAACCUGGGAACUGCAUUGGUGACUGGCAGGCUAGAGUAUGGCAGAGGGGGGUAGAAUUCCACGUGUAGCAGUGAAAUGCGUAGAGAUGUGGAGGAAUACCGAUGGCGAAGGCAGCCCCCUGGGCCAAUACUGACGCUCAUGCACGAAAGCGUGGGGAGCAAACAGGAUUAGAUACCCUGGUAGUCCACGCCCUAAACGAUGUCAACUAGUUGUUGGGGAUUCAUUUCCUUAGUAACGUAGCUAACGCGUGAAGUUGACCGCCUGGGGAGUACGGUCGC